rnacentral:tRNA from 1 species
AGUUAAUUAGCUUAAAGAAAGCUUAUAUUUUGAAAAUAUAAGAAAAAGGUUUAAUCCCUUUAUUAACUU